UUUUUUUCAUUUCUCCCAAACCUUCACCAACAUCAAACAAAAAGAGAAAAAUUAAUCUGAUUAUCCAAACAAAUAUAUAGAUCACCCUAGCUAUAUAUCUUCACUUAUGAGGUUACAUAAAGAAAAGAUGGCUAAUUCACCUCAUUCUUCAGCUCAAAACUUUGUAGAAAUUUCAUUUCUCCUGUUUGCUGGGUGAAGGUUGGUGCUGUGCUAUCAUUUCAUUCAUCAAACACCCACACAACAACAAAAAAAACUACCCUUUUUUCC
rnacentral:lncRNA from 1 species